AUUGAACGCCGGCGGCAUGCUUUACACAUGCAAGUCGAAAGGCAGCACGGGUGCUUGCACCUGGUGGCGAGUGGCGAACGGGUGAGUAAUACAUCGGAACAUGUCCUGUAGUGGGGGGAUAGCCCGGCGAAAGCCGGAUUAAUACCGCAUACGAUCUAUGGAUGAAAGCGGGGGACCUUCGGGCCUCGCGCUAUAGGGUUGGCCGAUGGCUGAUUAGCUAGUUGGUGGGGUAAAGGCCUACCAAGGCGACGAUCAGUAGCUGGUCUGAGAGGACGACCAGCCACACUGGGACUGAGACACGGCCCAGACUCCUACGGGAGGCAGCAGUGGGGAAUUUUGGACAAUGGGCGAAAGCCUGAUCCAGCAAUGCCGCGUGUGUGAAGAAGGCCUUCGGGUUGUAAAGCACUUUUGUCCGGAAAGAAAUCCUUGGCUCUAAUACAGUCGGGGGAUGACGGUACCGGAAGAAUAAGCACCGGCUAACUACGUGCCAGCAGCCGCGGUAAUACGUAGGGUGCAAGCGUUAAUCGGAAUUACUGGGCGUAAAGCGUGCGCAGGCGGUUUGCUAAGACCGAUGUGAAAUCCCCGGGCUCAACCUGGGAACUGCAUUGGUGACUGGCAGGCUAGAGUAUGGCAGAGGGGGGUAGAAUUCCACGUGUAGCAGUGAAAUGCGUAGAGAUGUGGAGGAAUACCGAUGGCGAAGGCAGCCCCCUGGGCCAAUACUGACGCUCAUGCACGAAAGCGUGGGGAGCAAACAGG
rnacentral:rRNA from 1 species